rnacentral:rRNA from 1 species
UGGGGAAUAUUGCACAAUGGGCGCAAGCCUGAUGCAGCCAUGCCGCGUGUGUGAAGAAGGCCUUCGGGUUGUAAAGCACUUUCAGCGGGGAGGAAGGCGUUAAGGUUAAUAACCUUGGCGAUUGACGUUACCCGCAGAAGAAGCACCGGCUAACUCCGUGCCAGCAGCCGCGGUAAUACGGAGGGUGCAAGCGUUAAUCGGAAUUACUGGGCGUAAAGCGCACGCAGGCGGUCUGUCAAGUCGGAUGUGUAAUCCCCGGGCUCAACCUGGGAACUGCAUUCGAAACUGGCAGGCUAGAGUCUUGUAGAGGGGGGUAGAAUUCCAGGUGUAGCGGUGAAAUGCGUAGAGAUCUGGAGGAAUACCGGUGGCGAAGGCGGCCCCCUGGACAAAGACUGACGCUCAGGUGCGAAAGCGUGGGGAGCAAACAGG